ACGGGAGGCAGCAGUGGGGAAUAUUGCACAAUGGGGGAAACCCUGAUGCAGCGACGCCGCGUGAGUGAAGAAGUAUUUCGGUAUGUAAAGCUCUAUCAGUAGGGAAGAAAAUGACGGUACCUAACUAAGAAGCCCCGGCUAACUACGUGCCAGCAGCCGCGGUAAUACGUAGGGGGCAAGCGUUAUCCGGAUUUACUGGGUGUAAAGGGAGCGUAGACGGUUUGGCAAGUCAGAAGUGAAAGGCGGGGGCUCAACCCUUGGACUGCUUUUGAAACUGUUAAACUAGAGUGUCGGAGGGGUAAGUGGAAUUCCUAGUGUAGCGGUGAAAUGCGUAGAUAUUAGGAGGAACACCAGAGGCGAAGGCGGCUUACUGGACGAUUACUGACGUUGAGGCUCGAAAGCGUGGGGAGCGAACAGGAUUAGAUACCCUGGUA
rnacentral:rRNA from 1 species